AUAGCCGCAAAAACUGUGCGUGAAGGUGGUGUAAGUUGCCCGUGAAAGUGGAGCUGUAAACUCUUCCAACUUAACCUAUUAGAAGUCGAUGUAAAUGAGAUGCCCAGACAAGUGGCCCAGAAUGCCGGGAGGAAAAAGAAGUGGGAGCAAGGUACUUUUUGGUAAAUCAUAGGACGUUGUGAAAUUUGAUAGGAAUGGUUGUCUACGUUAUAGAAGUUGGAUACUUGUGAGGAAUAUCAAAGUUUAUAUAUCCUGCAGUUGUGAAUGUGGGGAUAUUGUGUAAAGUGUGGGAGGUUGGAGGUUUUUGGGAAUGUGAAGGUUAAUAAGUAUUAGAAAUACUUACAUAUGUGAGAUAUCUUGAAACAUAGAAUCGCUCUUGGAUACAUAGUGAUAUGAUGCACCAGUUAAUCUGUCCGAGCUGUGCCAGUAUGUGGAGUGAGGCGAUGCUUCAACUGAAGAGAACGCCUCGGGUGCAGACUGAUAUUACCUGCUCCUUUAAGUGAAUAAUGUAGCUCUAGAUGAUAGCGACAGAUAAUUGAGAGUGGGUGCAGGAGGGAGGAGUGGAUUUGAUUCUACGUAUGUGGUAUCUGCCUACUGUUUAGGAGAAUCCACGUCCUCUUGGAUAACAUGGGUCUGAAUAUCUGAGUUCCAUUUAUGUGCUGGCACCAUGAUCUGCAGGCUUACCAGUGUCAGCACGGAAUAUACAGCAUCAGGGAAUUAUUUUCUUUCCAUCCAUUAAAUUGCUUACAGAAUCAGAUUGUGUACUGGAAAACACGAGUUGUUACAGACGACAUUCUAGUAAUCGUAUUUUAUAGUCUAGUCUAGAGCAUGUGUAGUGAUGUGUACUUUUUUGUAUUAAUGAUUAGAAGAAUGUUGAAUGAUAUUUUCAUAGGAUCAGAUUGUAAUCAGUGAUUUCCCUAUAAAAUAUUUGAGCACAAGUAUUAUGGGGUGGAUACCGUUCAUAUAAAGUAAAUGUAUAUCCUUCACAAAUGUCGAAAAACAUAAUAAAGAUAAUAAUUGGAAAACUUUGAAAAGAGAAUAAUUCGGGAACUGUUGGAUAUUGAAAGGGUCAGUGAAGAUAAUUGUGAUAUGCACUUGAUAGCGUUUUGAAUUGUCAAUAUUACGGAAAAAUGCAUUUAAGACCAUUUUUAAUAUCGUGAUGUAUUCCAGGUUUCAUAGAUUACGCAGAGACUUUAACAGAAAAACAUAUGCAAGAGUAUAUCAUGUGAGAAAAUUCGGAAAUAAAAUGUCCCAUAUAAAUAAUGAUUUCAUACGCUAUCAUGGACAUUCAAUCGUAAGAUAUUUCCGAGGGCUAAACCGUGCUCAACUGACUAAUUAUGCGCAGUAUUAAUCUGCGCACACCUAUCAUAAUGUACGCUCACAACCUAACAUUAGUGUAAAUUACCGAGCUGUAGUGUGUAGUGAAAGACAAU